ACAUGACAUAACAACAGGACCAACAAAAACCUGCUCUAAAGUCAUGGUGCAGUAUUUCCAUGCUAUUUAAAGGCUACAUUAGUAAGAUCGUGAGAUGCACAGACACAGACAGGUGGAAAUAACUCUUUAAAGUGUGUUUAAUGUCUGCUGUUAUUUCUGUCCCAAAAGGCAGAGAAAAUCAGAAACUGCUGCUGCUAGAUUUAAACACAGUUUACAUGUAUCAACAGUAAACACAUCACUCAACUGUCUCUGACAUGAUGAUGCCUUCAAGGACUCUCAGUAAACACAUCACUCAACUGUCUCUGACAUGAUGAUGCCUUCAAGGACUCUCAGUAAACACAUCACUCAACUGUCUCUGACAUGAUGAUGCCUUCAAGGACUCUCAGUAAAUGCAUCACUCAACUGUCUCUGACAUGAUGAUGCCUUCAAGGACUCUCAGUAAACACAUCACUCAACUGUCUCUGACAUGAUGAUGCCUUCAAGGACUCUCUGUCCCUUUAAGCCUGCUUCACUUCGCUCUCAUUGCCUUACUGCAUGGAUUCAUUUUGGAAAUCUGCUUGGAUUAUUACUCUGCUUUGUCUUGCUGGCGUUCUCCACCUGCAGCCUGCGCUCACCUGCUGCUACCUGCCUGCCUACCUGCUAUCACUCCUAGCCUGGGUCAGGUACCUCUUCAUAGGCGUAGAUUUCGGGGGGGACGCAGGGGAUGUGUCCCACCCAAUAUUUAGAAAAGGUAGAUUUGUCCCUGUUAGGUGGGGGUUAUUUCUGUAGUAGAUGGACAAUUAUGAAAUCGUGAAACAGACUGUGGAUCAUCUUAGAUUUAUUCAGCCAUGGUCAGACAACACAGAAACACAACACACAUGACAAAGUGCAGACCAUCGCUGACCCAUGCUGACCAAGAUCUCACAAUCAUUGACAAUCAUUGGCAAAGUGGCCAUCAUGGGCAAAAUGGUAAAAUGGCAAAAUGGCCAAUGGCAAAAUGAAUGAAUCCAUGAAAAUACGUACUAACAGUUCCCCCGUUUUUAAUAUUUAGCUUUAUUUUUCUUUAAAGGGAGAAAAGUUUGAACAUGAUUUUAAUUUCUCUUUGAGGUGUUUACCAAUUAUCUUCUUUAAGUACAUGGCCUCUGAGUUUCACCCAUGACAGACAAUAACAUUGUUUUAACACUGUCCACAUAACAUCAAAAUGUUUUAGGAGUGGUUAGAAAACAUAUGUAAAGAUCACAGGUCACAUACUUGCAUACAAGAUACCAAAACUUAACAGAAAAGGUAGAAAACCUUUAAUGUUCUAUUUGGAAACUCAGAUCAUGUUCAGUUUCAAAGAAUGAAAUCUAAAGAUAUUGUCAGUGGUGAAUUUACAGAACAUUUGAAAACAAAGAUGUUUAAAUAAUCAAAACUUAAUGUAUUUAAUGAUAUCUAAAACAUUCUUAGAUCAAACCAAAAUCAAAUACUUUAUAUCACAUCCCGCACUUUUUUAAUUCAUCUUAUUUUUAUGUUUUUUAUUUGUUUAUUUAUUUUUUUUGCUAUUUAUUUUUACAACAAUAGAUAAAAUGUUUAAGCGGAUAUGUAUUUUAGAAAGAUAAUCAAUAGAAUGGAAGCAACAUGUUUCAUUGUUCCCUCGAAUGCUCUUUUAUUUUCGAGUCAUUGCACAGAUGCAAACCUUAAGUGUAACUCAACCAAAAUGUUUAAAUCACGGUGCUUGAUUGUGUUGCUGUUAUUGUUAUCUGGCGAUGUUCAGUUUAACCCUGGUCCUGAUUUUAAUUGUAUUCAAACUGCUGCUGAUUUUAGCUUAAGAUCUGGUCUGGGUAUUAUUCAUUUAAAUGUCCGUAGUCUUCUACCUAAAAUAUACUUUUUUAGAGUUUGGGCACAGACAACUAAUGCUGAUAUAAUUGUAAUUUCUGAGAGUUGGUUGAACAAAUCUAUUAAUGAUAGUGUUGUUUCUAUUAAUGGGUACAAUAUAAGUCGUGCUGAUCGUGUUAAACGUGGUGGUGGAAUAAUUGUGUAUUCUAAAUGUAAAUUCCACACUAAAGUAUUGGUCAAGAAGUCAAUACCUAAUCAGUUUGAAAUUCUAGCUUUACAGGUUGAGUUGUCCAAGGGCUGUCAUAUUACUGUUGUUGGUUGCUACAGACCUCAUUCUGCAGCUAAGGAAACCUUGUCCUCCUUAUCUAAUAUUCUUUCUAAAUUAUCUGACAACGAGAUAGCCCUCUGUGGUGAUCUAAACUGGGACUGGCAGUCACCAGCCUCAAAUGCAUUUAAAACAUACUGUAACUCAAUGAAUUUUACACAGUUAAUUGAUUCUCCCACUCGUCCAAACCAUAAGUGCCCAGAAAAAUCUAUUUUAAUUGAUUUGUUUAUUACUAAUAAUCCUCAUAAGUAAGUGUACAUACUCUGUAAGUGUAUUUCCAUAUGACGUGAGUGACCACUGUGUUAUUGCAGGUGUCAGGGAUACUAGAAUUCCAAAAGUUAAACCUCGUUACAUCACAAAACGUAAUACAAAACACUUUAGUGAACAGGCCUACAGAUUUGAUCUUAAUUUUGCAGAUUGGCGCAGGGUCUCCUUAAUACUUGAUGUUGAACUAGCCUGGUCUUAUUUUGCUGAAAUGCUUAUGUCAAUCAUUGAUAAACAUGCCCCUUAUAAAAGGUAAAGAGUUAAGGGCAGGGAAAAUCCCUGGUUCUCUGAAGAAUUGUAUAAUUUAUUCAGAGAAAGAAAUUAUUAUUGGGCAAAAGCAAGAAAGCUGAACACUGAUGCUCUCUGGGCUACUUUUAGAUGCUUAAGGAAUAAAUGUACUACGUUAGUCAAGAAAGCCAAAUCUAGCAAUUAUCUUGCCCUUACAACUGAAAAUUUAAAUAACCCACGGAAAUUCUGGCAGACAAUCAAAUCUCUAUCUCCAAAUAACUCCUCUAGUCUUCCAACUUGCAUUGUGUCAGAGUCUGCCACUAUCCAUGACAGAGCUGAGAUGCUCAAUUGUUUUAAUAAGUAUUUUGUUUCUUCUGGUUUUCUUUUUGAUAAAGUAAAUACGCCCUCUACUGCACUGGCUCCACUUGCUAUUGCUGAGCCCCUUUUGGAUAAUGAAUUUAACUUUAGACCCUUCACUGUUGCUGAAGUACAUAAAGCUCUUAAGAAAUUAGAUUAAAAAAAAACACCAGGGCCAGAUAAUAUAGGUGUGUAUUUUUUAAAACUCGCCACAGAUUUUAUUGCAGAGCCACUGACCUACAUUUUUAAUUUAACUCUAACUAGUAAGAAAAUCCCCAAAAUAUGGAAAACGGCUCACGUUCUUCCCCUCUUAAAAGGUGGUGAACCGUUCGAGCCUCAAUAACUACAGGCCUAUUUCAAAUCUGUCUCCUUUAGCCAAGAUUUUAGAAAGCCUGGUUAGUGAUCAGUUGAAGGAUUUCUUGAGUCUGAAUGAAAUUUUAUCUUGUCAUCAAUCUGGUUUUAGAAAAUCACACAGUACAGUCACAGCAACUACUAAAAUAGUAAAUUAUAUUUUUAUGGCCCUGGAUAGCAAACAACACUGUGCUUGUCUUUUUAUUGAUUUUGCCAAGGUCUUCGAUACGGUGGACCAUGAUGUAUUAUUGCAUAGACUGGCUAAUAUAGGAUUGUCUAAUUCUGCUGUUGGUUGGUUUUCUAACUAUCUUUCAGACAGGACUCAAUGUGUUAAAAUUGAUGGCUGCUCCUCUGAUACUUUGGCUGUCCACAAUGGGGUGCCACAAGGCUCUAUAUUAGGUCCCUUGUUGUUUACUAUUUAUAUUAAUGAUUUGGGGAAAUAUGUCCAAAAUGCAAAUGCCCAUUUUUAUGCUGACGAUACUAUUAUUUAUUGUUUUGGAGAGACUGGGUUAGGGUUAGGGUUAAAGGCUGUUGAUCGCUUGCAAGCAGCUUUUAAAGAAAUAGAAGCCCAACUCCUGUCUUUCAGACUGGUACUUAAUGCAGAUAAAACUAAAAUGAUGAUCUUCACUAAAUCCAAGGACAAAACUAACUGUCGGCCCACUCUAUUUACAUUUCAAGGUACUCUUAUUGUAUUGAGACCGUUUCCACAUCCUUGAUGACAAUUUUUCUUCUUUUAAACCCCAUAUCGAGAACCUGGCAAAGAAAUUAAAGGUGAGAUUGGGCUUUUAUUUCAGACAUAAAUCUUGUUUUUCUUUUGUUUCUAAAAAUGGUAAAUGGUAAAUGGACUUGGGCUUAUAUAGCGCUUUUCUAGUGAAAAGAGGCUUAUUGCUGCUACUUUUAUUCCAUUAUUAGAUUAUGGUGAUGUACUGUACAUGAAUGCCUGGUCUACCUCACUGCACAUGGAUGCUACUUAUCAUUGUGCGUUAAGAUUCAUUACCGGCUGUAAAUCACUCACCCAUCAUUGCACCCUGUACUCUAAAGUAAGCUGUCUGUCCCUGUCAGCUCGUAGGCUUCUUCACUGGUACACUUUCAUUUAUAAAGCUAUUACUGGACUACUCCCUUCAUACCUCACUUUUAAAUCAAAUCCAUCAUACAGUUUGCGCUCUCUGGACUUUCUUUUUACAUCAGUCCCCAGAACUCGUACUGAGUUUGGGAAGAGGGCCUUCAUGUACUCUGCUCCCUCCGCAUGGAACAGUCUUCAAAAAACACUCAAAUUGCAGGAACUCAUCACUAUUAGUGAUUUUAAAACUAAAAACUAAAACUGCUCUGAGAUCAGCUCCACCGUCACACACAGGACCAUGACCUCGAACAUUUUUCUAUUCUCAUAUUCUGAAUUUAAACUGCUUCAUGACUCAACGAGCGAAGAUUAACUCUUUGAUUUGGAUAUAAAUGUUUCUGUUGCAGCGCCACCCUGUGGACAUGUGUAGUGGUGCAGGUUAUUCAUUGACUCAUAUUCACAGAUAACAGUAGAAGUUGAUUCCACCUGUGCAAGUUAAAGUCUGAAGUUCAUGUUUUAACCACGAGUCGUUGGUCGUCUGACAAUAAAUCAGUCGUCUCUUUGUUGGAUCAAAACAAAGAGGAGGCUUCACUGAGUUUUUAAAAGAACUACAAACAGGAUGUCUGGAUCCGGGUGCAGAGUCAGCACCUGAAUAUUUGAUGUAACAUGAGUUGAUAUAAAAAGAGCUGAAUAACAUGCAGACUCAAUCAUUGAUAUUCAUUCAUCAUGUCAGGGUAACAACGGACACGUUAUCAAACUAUCUUUAUUUUUAACUAAUCAUUCUGAUGUUUAUUACACUUUGAUGUUUGAACCUUCUGUUUUUAUUAUAUCAGGAUUUUAAAUAGAAAUAAAUUCAAUCUGUGGAGGGUUUUAUUUGAAUAAUAAUUCAUGUUUAGGUUCUGUUGCUGCUAUCACUGCUUUCUGCCAGCAGGUGUCACUGUUUCCACAGUUUUCUCCCAGACUGAUCGAUCUGAAGAGAUUAUUUCUCUGUCAGGAAACACAAAGAAAGAUAGAUGAUGCCGGCUCUUUUAUUUGUUCUUAUGUUUUUAUAUUUCAUGUACAAGUUUAAUGUCCCUUUUUGUAAUCACUGCCCCCUAGUGGACAGGAGUGUGGAGCGAUCCAAAGGCAGAAAAAUAAUCUUUGACUGGACUUCUGUAAUGAAGUGAAGUGUGAAGGAAGUUGAGCUUUCUUUGAGUCUCUCUGUAGUUUGUAACUGAAUACUUGGACUCUUCUUCACUUUAGAGGGAACAUGUUCUCCUCUACAUUUCUUCAACACAUUCUCUACGAGUUCCUCGUCUGAUCUAAUUAACCCCAUGUUUUAAGAUGGGCUGGUGUUUCUGCUCUUGGUGUAAACCCAGACACAGUGAUCUUUCUGUCAUGUUGUUCAUGUGUGUUACUCUUGAUAAUUCACUCAAAUAAUGUCUCUAUAUUCUACAAGUGAUUUACUUUUUAAAUAACUGACACCAUGUCAACACAAAGUUUCACUGCUUCCAAUCCGCCUCUUAUACGACGGCCAUGUUGCAUAAAAAAAAACAUCAACAACUUCUGUUUAUUAAAUAUCACAGUUGGGUUUUUAUUAAGACUGUACAUUAAUAUUCUUCUUCUUUGAAAUUAAACUUAAUUUGACUCAAA